rnacentral:rRNA from 1 species
UACGAAGGGGGCUAGCGUUGCUCGGAAUCACUGGGCGUAAAGCGCACGUAGGCGGAUUGCUAAGUCAGGGGUGAAAUCCUGGAGCUCAACUCCAGAACUGCCCUUGAUACUGGCGGUCUCGAGUCCGGGAGAGGUGAGUGGAAUUCCCGGUGUAGCGGUGAAAUGCGCAGAUAUCGGGAAGAACACCCGUGGCGAAGGCGGCUCUCUGGGACGGUACUGACGCUGAGACGCGAAAGCGUGGGGAGCGAACAGG